GAUGAACGCUGGCGGCGUGCCUAAUACAUGCAAGUCGAGCGAACAGACGAGCACCUUCCUCCCCCGACCCUCCCCGCCCACGGGCGAGCAACACGCGGAUAACCUCCCUAUAAGACUGGGCUAACCCCGGGAAACCCGCGCUAAUACCGGAUAAUAUAUUGAACCCCAUGGUUCAAUAGUCAAAGACGGUUUUGCUCUCACUUAUAGCUGGAUCCCCGCCGCAUUAGCUAGUUGGUAAGGUAACGGCUUACCAAGGCAACGAUGCGUAGCCGACCUGAGAGGGUGUUCGGCCACACUGGAACUGAGACACGGUCCAGACUCCUACGGGAGGCAGCAGUAGGGAAUCUUCCGCAAUGGGCGAAAGCCUGACGGAGCAACGCCGCGUGAGUGAUGAAGGUCUUCGGAUCGUAAAACUCUGUUAUUAGGGAAGAACAAAUGUGUAAGUAACUAUGCACGUCUUGACGGUACCUAAUCAGAAAGCCACGGCUAACUACGUG
rnacentral:rRNA from 1 species